UCGGAAUCCGGGCUUUCUGGUUACGACGUCUAGCUGCCGCAGUAAAUGCGGUUAGGUGGUAGGGAGAGGGCGGCUAUUUUCCACCUCCCGUCCCUGGAUCUUGGAGGCUUCAGAGCGGCGAAGAACUGCAGAUAGAUCGAUCUUGCGACAGAGCGACGGACAAAUCCGGCCAGCAAUGGAGUUCUGGAUGCAACCCAUAAGCAGCAGAAUCUGCUAGAGGAGGUCAACGAGAACAACGUCCCCAUGAGUCCUCUUCAGUACCCUGUGGCGACGCCGCCGGCUGUGGAGCUUCCUACCACGGCGGCGUCGAGCGCCGACGCCCAGAUUUCUGCUGCUCGAAACGCUCAAGAGACCCGAAAACUCCUGGCUGGACUAAAAGACGAAAAGGAUGCAAGGGAUGUGCUGCUGAAAUAAAGCCAUUUACAGAGGAAAGUGAUGGGCUAGGACUUGAAGACAGGCUAGCUGAUAACGGAGAUGUCCUGAAGUAGGUUCAGUCUGAAGGCGCGGUGGUCGCUGCAGUAGCUGGCACACAUGGUGUUGUAAGCAAUGACGACAAUAAUUCAGCAAACGAGUCAGGGAACAUGCUUGCAGGGUUAUUGCGGCCAGCUAAGCGGAAGGAGAUGGGGAGGCCUACGACCAGCAGAGAGAACGCGCCAUAUGAAGGUCUGAGUAAGCAAACAAGAUUCUGCAGCAUAUGUCGGCGGCAGGGAAACGGACAACUUGCCCUGAUUGUGGCAAUGUUCCGAAGCAGCCCCGGAAGCCAUCAGGAUGCAAAAAUUGUGGCGUCUACGGACUCCGCCGGAACAGCUGAGACUGAAAAAUAGUUGAGAACUGAGAAAUACUUGACGGGCAUCCUGUAGUUCGC